CUGCAGUGACAUCAUGACUGCCCAGCCAAACAUUCAGUCCUGGUCUCCGUCAAAGCUAGCCGAACUCACCAAACUCCAGCUGCUUAAUAUCACAUCUGAAAGCGACCUCCCCGUGGACCACGAGCUCCACCAUGUUCCACUCGCGCGUUUCUUCCAGGACGCACUGGUGCCCGCGUGCUCUCAGAGCGGCUGUGGACAUAUUAGACGGACAAUGUUUGACCUCAUGUAAAAAAGUCAAAGCAGAAGACAACACGCGGAAGAGACACAUACCCUGGAGACCCUGCAGACGGAGAGUCCGGGGUUUGACGAUCCCACAAGAUUCAUAAGAGCUUGUGCCUCUCCUUGAGAUGAAGUCUGGGUUUGAGCCUCCACUGUGGUCUGCGCAGCUGUUCUCAGUGCAACAUGAGGCAGUGUCUGCUGGUUCUUGCUCAGGACUUUCACGGAAACUGGACACGCAGAAGAUGAUGUGGUCUGACUGAGGGUUGUAGCACGCUCCGUAUCCAUUUGGAACCACAGGACCGUAACAGCAGAACAUCUCUACAGUAGUAGGAACCUGAAAGAAGAGUAAAUCCUGCUUACAGCUUUGCUAGUAUGUCCAAAUGUUGCUGUAGGAGGAAAGGCAAGACUAUCCAUAGAUGUCUGUUGUAAAUUUAAACUACAGUUCUGACCUUAAUAACCCACCUGCACCAAAUAAAAACAUCUUUGUGUUUUUA